rnacentral:rRNA from 1 species
UACGUAGGGGGCAAGCGUUGUCCGGAAUCAUUGGGCGUAAAGAGCGCGUAGGCGGCCCGAUAAGUCCGCUGUGAAAGUCAAGGGCUUAACCCUUGAAUGCCGGUGGAAACUGUCGGGCUAGAGUCCGGAAGAGGCGAGUGGAAUUCCUGGUGUAGCGGUGAAAUGCGUAGAUAUUGGGAAGAACACCGGUGGCGAAAGCGCCUUGCUGGGUCUGCACUGACACUGAGGGACGAAAGCUAGGGGAGCGAAAGGG